CACGGGGAGGUAGUGACAAUA
rnacentral:ncRNA from 2 species